UUCUCAGCUCCAAUAGCGUAUAUUAAAGUUGUUGUGGUUAAAAAGCUCGUAGUUGGAUCUCGGCGGACAGAAGUCGGUCCGAUUGCUUUCGGUACUGGCUUGUUUGUCCGUGUGUUUUGCCAGAGGCAGGCGGGUGCUCUUCGCCGAGUGUCCGUUUGUGCUGGCAGGUUUACUUUGAAAAAAUUAGAGUGCUUAAAGCAAGCUCCCACGCUUGAAUAUUCGUGCAUGGAAUAAUAGAAUAGGAUGUCGUUCCUAUUUUGUUGGUUUUCGGGAAUCGACAUAAUGAUUAAUAGGGACAGUCGGGGGCAUUUGUAUUCAAACGACAGAGGUGAAAUUCUUGGACCGUUUGAAGACAAACUACUGCGAAAGCAUUUGCCAAGAAUGUUUUCAUUAAUCAAGAACGAAAGUUAGAGGUUCGAAGGCGAUUAGAUACCGCCCUAGUUCUAACCAUAAACGAUGCCAGCUAGCGAUCUGCAGGCGUUUUACUUUACGACCUUGCAGGGAGCUUCCGGGAAACCAAAGCUUGUGGGUUCCAGGGGAAGUAUGGUUGCAAAGCUGAAACUUAAAGGAAUUGACGGAAGGGCACCACCAGGAGUGGAGCCUGUGGCUUAAUUUGACUCAACACGGGAAAUCUCACCAGGCCCGGACACGAGAAGGAUUGACAGAUUGAUAGCUCUUUCUUGAUUUCGUGGGUGGUGGUGCAUGGCCGUUCUUAGUUGGUGGAGUGAUUUGUCUGGUUAAUUCCGAUAACGAACGAGACUCUGUCCUGCUAACUAGUGUCUGCUUCUUUUCUGAGCAGAUUAUUCUUCUUAGAGGGACUGGUAGCUCUUAGCUACACGAGAUUGAGCAAUAACAGGUCUGUGAUGCCCUUAGAUGUUCUGGGCCGCACACGCGCUACACUGAAUGGAUCAGCUAGUUUUUCCCUCUCCGAGAGGAGCGGGUAAACUGUUGAACCCCAUUCGUGGUAGGGAUCGGAGCUUGCAAUUGUUCUCCGUGAACCAGGAAUUCCCAGUAGGCGCAAGUCAUAAGCUUGCGUCGAUUACGUCCCUGCCCUU
rnacentral:rRNA from 1 species